CGAAUAGAAGUGAGCAUGCAGGCAUGAGUAGCGAUAAUUAAUGUGAGAAUCAUUAACGCCGUAAACCCAAGGUUUCCUACGCGAUGCUCGUCAUCGUAGGGUUAGUCGGGUCCUAAGUCGAGUCCGAAAGGGGUAGACGAUGGCAAAUUGGUUAAUAUUCCAAUACCAACAUUAGUGUGCGAUGGAAGGACGCUUAGGGCUAAGGGGGCUAGCGGAUGGAAGUGCUAGUCUAAGGUCGUAGGAGGUUAUACAGGCAAAUCCGUAUAACAAUACUCCGAGAACUGAAAGGCUUUUUGAAGUCUUCGGAUGGAUAGAAGAACCCCUGAUGCCGUCGAGCCAAGAAAAGUUUCUAAGUUUAGCUAAUGUUGCCCGUACCGUAAACCGACACAGGUGGGUGGGAUGAGUAUUCUAAGGCGCGUGGAAGAACUCUCUUUAAGGAACUCUGCAAAAUAGCACCGUAUCUUCGGUAUAAGGUGUGGUUCGCUUCGUAUUAGGAUUUACUCCGAAAGCGAAGAAACUUACAACAAAGAGUCCCUCCCGACUGUUUACCAAAAACACAGCACUCUGCUAACUCGUAAGAGGAUGUAUAGGGUGUGACGCCUGCCCGGUGCUCGAAGGUUAAUUGAUGGGGUUAGCAUUAGCGAAGCUCUUGAUCGAAGCCCGAGUAAACGGCGGCCGUAACUAUAACGGUCCUAAGGUAGCGAAAUUCCUUGUCGGUUAAAUACCGACCUGCAUGAAUGGCGUAACGAGAUGGGAGCUGUCUCAAAGAGGGAUCCAGUGAAAUUGUAGUGGAGGUGAAAAUUCCUCCUACCCGCGGCAAGACGGAAAGACCCCGUGGACCUUUACUACAGCUUGACACUGCUAUUUGGAUAAGAAUGUGCAGGAUAGGUGGGAGGCUUUGAGUAUAUGACGCCAGUUGUAUAUGAGCCAUUGUUGAGAUACCACUCUUUCUUAUUUGGGUAGCUAACCAGCUUGAGUUAUCCUCAAGUGGGACAAUGUCUGGUGGGUAGUUUGACUGGGGCGGUCGCCUCCCAAAUAAUAACGGAGGCUUACAAAGGUUGGCUCAGAACGGUUGGAAAUCGUUCGUAGAGUAUAAAGGUAUAAGCCAGCUUAACUGCAAGACAUACAAGUCAAGCAGAGACGAAAGUCGGUCUUAGUGAUCCGGUGGUUCUGUGUGGAAGGGCCAUCGCUCAAAGGAUAAAAGGUACCCCGGGGAUAACAGGCUGAUCUCCCCCAAGAGCUCACAUCGACGGGGAGGUUUGGCACCUCGAUGUCGGCUCAUCGCAUCCUGGGGCUGGAGCAGGUCCCAAGGGUAUGGCUGUUCGCCAUUUAAAGCGGUACGCGAGCUGGGUUCAGAACGUCGUGAGACAGUUCGGUCCCUAUCUGCCGUGGGCGUAAGAAGAUUGAAGAGAUUUGACCCUAGUACGAGAGGACCGGGUUGAACAAACCACUGGUGUAGCUGUUGUUCUGCCAAGAGCAUCGCAGCGUAGCUAAGUUUGGAAAGGAUAAACGCUGAAAGCAUCUAAGCGUGAAGCCAACUCUAAGAUGAAUCUUCUCUAAGCUCUCUAGAAGACUACUAGUUUGAUAGGCUGGGUGUGUAAUGGAUGAAAGUCCUUUAGCUGACCAGUACUAAUAGAGCGUUUGGCUUAUCUUUAAUAAAGCAU
rnacentral:rRNA from 1 species